GCUGUAGUUCAGUGGCAGAGCAUCUGGUUGGCAUACACAAGGUCCCAGGUUCAAUCCCUGGUGUCUCCA